GAUGAACGCUGGCGGCGUGCCUAAUACAUGCAAGUAGAACGCUGAAGCUUGGCGCUUGCACCGAGCGGAUGAGUUGCGAACGGGUGAGUAACGCGUAGGUAACCUGCCUCUUAGCGGGGGAUAACUAUUGGAAACGAUAGCUAAUACCGCAUAAAAGACGAUAUCGCAUGAUAUUGAUUUGAAAGGUGCAAAUGCAUCACUAAGAGAUGGACCUGCGUUGUAUUAGCUAGUUGGUGAGGUAACGGCUCACCAAGGCAACGAUACAUAGCCGACCUGAGAGGGUGAUCGGCCACACUGGGACUGAGACACGGCCCAGACUCCUACGGGAGGCAGCAGUAGGGAAUCUUCGGCAAUGGGGGCAACCCUGACCGAGCAACGCCGCGUGAGUGAAGAAGGUUUUCGGAUCGUAAAGCUCUGUUGUAAGAGAAGAACGAGUGUGAAAGUGGAAAGUUCACACUGUGACGGUAACUUACCAGAAAGGGACGGCUAACUACGUGCCGGCAGCCCCGGUGAAACGUAGGUCCCGAGCUUUAUCCGGAUUAAUUGGGCGUUAACCGGACACCGGUGGGUAUAUCUUUCUUAAGUAAAAGGGUG
rnacentral:rRNA from 1 species